rnacentral:rRNA from 1 species
CCUACGGGAGGCUGCAGUGGGGAAUAUUGGACAAUGGGCGAAAGCCUGAUCCAGCCAUGCCGCGUGUGUGAAGAAGGCCUUCGGGUUGUAAAGCACUUUCAGUGGGGAAGAAAGCCUUGGGGCUAAUACCCUCGAGGAAGGACAUCACCCACAGAAGAAGCACCGGCUAACUCCGUGCCAGCAGCCGCGGUAAUACGGAGGGUGCGAGCGUUAAUCGGAAUUACUGGGCGUAAAGCGCGCGUAGGCGGUCUGAUAAGCCGGUUGUGAAAGCCCCGGGCUCAACCUGGGAACGGCAUCCGGAACUGUCAGGCUAGAGUGCAGGAGAGGGAGGUAGAAUUCCCGGUGUAGCGGUGAAAUGCGUAGAGAUCGGGAGGAAUACCAGUGGCGAAGGCGGCCUUCUGGACUGACACUGACGCUGAGGUGCGAAAGCGUGGGUAGCAAACAGGAUUAGAUACCCUAGUAGUC